rnacentral:rRNA from 1 species
GACGAACGCUGGCGGCGUGCUUAACACAUGCAAGUCGAACGAAGUGGCGAACGGGUGAGUAACGCGUAAUCAACCUGCCCUUCAGAGGGGGACAACAGUUGGAAACGACUGCUAAUACCGCAUACUGAAGGAGGGGAUUGCGUCUGAUUAGCUAGUUGGGGGGGUAACGGCCCACCAAGGCGAUGAUCAGUAGCCGGUCUGGAGGGAAGGACGGCCACAUUGGGACUGGGACACGGGCCAGACUCCUACGGGGGGCAGCAAUGGGGAAUCUUCCGAAAUGGAGGGAAGUCUGACGGAGCAACGCCGCGUGAGAGAUGGCGGCCUUCGGGUUGUAAAACUCUGUUAAUCGGGACGCGGUACCGGAAUAGAAAGCCACGGCUAACUACGUGCCAGCAGCCGCGGUAAUAC